rnacentral:snRNA from 10 species
AAAAUAACGGCAAGUAGCAGAAACGUUGGUUUGGUGACCUCCAUUGCACUUUGGAGGGGGGCCUGCCUAAGGUCGGCCCAACUGGUCAAGCCUAGUGCCUACGUCGUAAUUUGUAGCAGCGGGGGCCUGCGUUCGCGUCGUCCCUAC